GUGCUCACUUUGGCAGCACAUAUACUAAAAUUAGAAUGAUACAGAGAAGAUUAGCGUGGCCCCUGCACAAGGGUGACACACAAAUUUAUAAAGUGUUCCAUAUUAAA
rfam:Felis catus breed Abyssinian Contig1274.1, whole genome shotgun sequence. [26-MAY-2016]